GCUUCAGUAAAAUGAAGACAAGCUACAGAGAUGGCAAGAAGGAAGCGUUUUCUGCUGCAAUAGAAAAAUGAUGGUCUACUCAUCUAGCAUGAACAGAUGGACAAGAAAUAUGCAAAAAAUAUAUAUGAGGAACUGAAGUCAGAGAGCAGCAGAAUAGACUUGGAAUACCCUGCAAGUUUUAUGGGCAGGCCAAACGUCAGGGAAGAUAUUCUAAGACCCCACUGGAACAUGACUGCUCUUGUGGAAGAGAGGAUGUUGAAACAGCCCAGCAUUAUGGUGUGACAUUUACAAGAAUAUCCAAAAUAUCUAUAUUCUACCUCUCCUUCAACAAUACCCUGGGCAGCAUUUUGGCAUUAUACUAUGUCAGCUGAACCUUUGGAGGGGUGAGAUGAGCCUGGGAACUGUGAGUCAAGUAAGAAAAUGUCCUGCAAAUAAACUCUGUGAGCUUCAGCAUUGCACAUGGAAAGAUUGCCUUUUCAGCUAUUCAAGACUUACAACAGCUGAACAAGAAGCAAAGUGGCUCGACUACUGAACAAUGGCAUUCAGUUCACACAAGGGUAGAUCAACUUCUGGAGUGGUGCAAAGACUACAUGAGGAAGUAUUCACAGUUUUCACCUCUGCCAGUUGUCACCUCAUAAAAUUUUCCCAUAACAUUCAGGAGCAGCUGGGAGCUGGGUGUGAAGAUGUAAGAUACAACAGACAGCACAACUUUAAUAAUCCAGUGCAUGUGCAGAAGUAAAUCUGGGCCCACAAAAGUUUAAAAUGUUUGUUUUUAUUUUUCUUCUUUCUGCCUUGACUUUAGAUUUUCCACCUUUACUAAAAUACCUGUUGAAAUGGGGGGGGACAGGGGAAACAGAUUGCAUUUUCUCAGCCAAGUUGAGAAUUGUUUGGUGAAUGGUAGUAUCUUGUUACCUGGUUUAAUUUCUUAUUUGUUCACUCCCUGACACUGGAGACUGGUUUUCCACCCUUGGAUUAGAAGAUGGAUGCAAUAACUUUUGGAUUACCUCUUCUGUUCUUUUACAAGGGUAAAAACAUGGUAGACUAGUUAAAAUCUUUUCCACAAUCCAGUAACUAUGCUGCCUCUGGAAUAAAAUCAAACUUCUCUGAAUGGUUAAACAACUACAGCAUAAUUGGUGGAGGAAGAAAAGCCUGGAUGAUCCGACUCCCCUGUGACUGCUACUGGCCAA